UACGAAGGGGGCUAGCGUUGCUCGGAAUCACUGGGCGUAAAGCGCACGUAGGCGGCUUUUUAAGUCAGGGGUGAAAUCCUGGAGCUCAACUCCAGAACUGCCUUUGAUACUGAGAAGCUUGAGUCCGGGAGCGGUGAGUGGAACUGCGAGUGUAGAGGUGAAAUUCGUAGAUAUUCGCAAGAACACCAGUGGCGAAGGCGGCUCACUGGCCCGGUACUGACGCUGAGGUGCGAAAGCGUGGGGAGCAAACAGG
rnacentral:rRNA from 1 species